UAAGUGAAUCUCAUCAUUUAAUAAAUGCCAUAGAAAUUCAGAGGAAAGUAUGAAUUACUGGGGUUUUAGUCUCCUGUUCCAGAAUAAAAAAUACCUGUAAGGAAAUAUUUUUUGCUGAAGAUGACAGAUAUCAAGUCUGUGUCUCAAUUCUACAAGAGAAACAUAUCAGACUCCAGAGAAUGUGUAAUAAAGUCCUAGAGAAAAUUGUUAAGUAAGUGAAACGUUUAAUUUCAGUGUAAAACUUUCUACUUUGGGGGAAUAUCCUACUAUAUUGUUCUGAGUUCCCUCUCAACUCACGUGUGUUGGCCCCUUGCUUCCUGUCUAGGCCCUACCACUGUAUUAUGAAAGUAAUGGCCCUACCAUUGCUAUUUAUUUAUUUGUUUAUUUAAACUUUAUGUAAGUUC
rnacentral:lncRNA from 1 species